UACGUAGGGCGCAAGCGUUGUCCGGAAUUAUUGGGCGUAAAGAGCUCGUAGGCGGCUUGUUGCGUCGGUUGUGAAAGCCCGGGGCUUAACCCCGGGUCUGCAGUCGAUACGGGCAGGCUAGAGUGUGGUAGGGGAGAUCGGAAUUCCUGGUGUAGCGGUGAAAUGCGCAGAUAUCAGGAGGAACACCGGUGGCGAAGGCGGAUCUCUGGGCCAUUACUGACGCUGAGGAGCGAAAGCGUGGGGAGUGAACAGG
rnacentral:rRNA from 1 species